rnacentral:SRP_RNA from 1 species
GUGUAGGAUAGACUGGGGAGGUAGGCGUUCCCUGUAACCAGAAAUCGCCUUUAUGCUGGAGUCGAAGCCAAGAGGCGAUGCGGCGGGCAUUUAUUGAUCCAUCUGUUAACGAUGAAACCCUGUCCUCUGGGAUCAGAGGUGAUGAACUCAUAUAACCGGAGGGUUAUAUGGUCAUCUUAGUUACGGGAACCGGGUGAGGCACGGAAGUGAGCAGCCUUACCGUAAACUGCUGAUGCUCGGAGGGUUAACGGGGUUGAGAACGCAGAUGGGUAGUCAAUAUUUUGCCACGUGCAUCCACUCAAGGUGUUCCUAUAC